rnacentral:rRNA from 1 species
UGGGGAAUAUUGGACAAUGGGCGCAAGCCUGAUCCAGCCAUGCCGCGUGAGUGAUGAAGGCCUUAGGGUUGUAAAGCUCUUUCACCGGUGAAGAUAAUGACGGUAGCCGGAGAAGAAGUCCCGGCUAACUCCGUGCCAGCAGCCGCGGUAAUACGGAGGGGACUAGCGUUGUUCGGAAUUACUGGGCGUAAAGGGCGCGUAGGCGGCCUGAUAAGUCAGAGGUGAAAGCCCUCGGCUCAACCGAGGAAAAUGCCUCUGAAACUGUCUGGCUCGAGGCUGGGAGAGGACAGCGGAAUUCCUGGUGUAGCGGUGAAAUGCGUAGAUAUCAGGAGGAACACCCGUGGCGAAGGCGGCUGUCUGGACCAGUUCUGACGCUGAGGCGCGAAAGCGUGGGGAGCAAACAGGAUUAGAUAGCCCUGGUAGUCCACGCUGUAAACGAUGGGUACUCGGUGGUGCGGGUGUCGACCCUGCGCUGCCUUAGCUAACGCGUUAAGUACCCCGCCUGGGGAGUACGGUCGCAAGGCUGAAACUC